rnacentral:misc_RNA from 1 species
ACGCUACCGGAAGAGAUAUUUUGCUUUGCAGCAGUCGUGACAUAACCAUUAGAUUUCGAUUUUCGAUGGUGUCUGGAUGAACUGGAGUAAGUGGGGAGAGUGCAGUGCCACUUGCGGCGGGGGAGCAAUGAAACGAACCCGCCUCUGUGACGCACCGAAAUUCGGAGGGGCUGACUGUGUCGGGGACACCGAGGAACUCAAGUCCUGUAACCCCAACCUGUGUCCAAUUCCUGGAGACUGGUUCAACUGGGAACAGUGGGCCGCGUGCUCUGUCACUUGCGGGGGUGGGACGAAAUCUCGCUCACGAAAAUGUGAUAUGACGUCACACGGCAAAUUGACCUCUCCCUGUGAAGGAGUGGAUGAAGAAACCAUUGACUGCCACACCUUUGCCUGCACACCCUUGGGUGAGGAUUAUUAACUUGA